AGCGCUGGUUUUCUUUCGUGAGUUUCGCGCGGGCCCCUUGAAAGUGCAAACCUCCACCACACUCAUUUAUCCAUUAGGAUGGGCUUGGAGGGUGCUAAGGAGACCGAUUCACAAAGCAGGGGUCCCCAUACUUGAAACAACGUGCUCGGAUUCUCAAACAUUGAGGGGGAGAAACACUUGGGACGGUUAAAUAAACCUUUCCGAGGCGCACGGUUACUAUUUUAGAUAGAAGUCGUUAUAUUUGCUUUUUCGUGAGGAUCGCGUGAGAAAAGUUUGAUGGAGAAGACUUUCAGAUUAGAGCCAUUGUAAGAUAAGAUGAUCAUCUCAUGAGCGUGAAGGAACAAAAUUCUGCAGAGAUGGGAUCAGCAUCAGGAUUUUUAAAAGCACAACAACAAAGAUUGCCUCUCUUCUGUCAGAGAACUGUCAUCUGGAAAUUCAGCAAGGCACUAAAUCACACCGUAAGGAGUUAUAGAGGCAAUUUAGCCUUUCUCAAACACAGCUCACUCACAGCCAAGAGCUCAGUUAGUCCCAAGCUUAAUCAAGUGCAAGUAGUGAAAAUCAUUCUGCUAUUUCACUGGGUCGGGUUGCUUCAGCAGCUGUCCUCCUAACCCCCUUUGUUCUCCAGAACUAUAAUAGGUUUCCUGGCUCCCCCCUCUGCCCCCCAUCUCAUUCCGAAUGUAGACUCUGCAUUUAAACAUUCCAAAAUUAAGGCAAAUAAUUGACAGUCAUUCCUGGAGACCUUUAAUUUUCCAUAUUACACAGACUAGGCUCACGUGUCCUUUAAAAUAUUGGCAAACAUUAUGUUUCUCUGGAUACCAACAUUAUCACUGGGCAUUUCUGCAAAGCAGGAAGUAGAAAUGUUGAUUCACACAUUUAAUUGAAAUUACAGUAAAAAACAACUUCUUUAAGGCCUUUAUUUGCUUAAUUGAAAUUUGUUGUUCAGGGGAUCGAUAAAGCAGAUGUAUUAAACUGUUCUUCAAUUUCUUAA